CCUACGGGGGGCUGCAGUGGGGAAUAUUGGACAAUGGGGGAAACCCUGAUCCAGCAAUGCCGCGUGUGUGAAGAAGGCCUGCGGGUUGUAAAGCACUUUCGGUUGGGAAGAAAAGUUUGGCGCCAAUACCGCCGAACCUUGACGUUACUGACAGAAGAAGCACCGGCUAACUCUGUGCCAGCAGCCGCGGUAAUACAGAGGGUGCAAGCGUUGAUCGGAACCUCUGGGCGUGGAGCGGCAAUUCGGGGGUGAAAUCCCCGGGCUUAAACUGGGAACUGCAUUAGAUACUACAUGGCUAGAGUAUGGUAGAGGGAAGUGGAAUUUCCGGUGUAGCGGUGAAAUGCGUAGAUAUCGGAAGGAACACCAAUGGCGAAGGCAGCUUCCUGGACUAAUACUGACACUGAGGCACGAAAGCGUGGGUAGCAAACAGGAUUAGAUACCCCAGUAGUC
rnacentral:rRNA from 1 species